rnacentral:rRNA from 1 species
UCCAGACUCCUACGGGAGGCAGCAGUGGGGGAUAUUGCACAAUGGGGGGAACCCUGAUGCAGCGACGCCGCGUGGGUGAAGGAGCGUUUCGGCGCGUAAAGCCCUAUCGGCAGGGAAGAAGGAGGACGGUACCUGACUAAGAAGCCCCGGCUAACUACGUGCCAGCAGCCGCGGUAAUACGUAGGGGGCAAGCGUUAUCCGGAUUUACUGGGUGUAAAGGGGGCGCAGACGGCAGCGCAAGCCAGGAGUGAAAGCCCGGGGCCCAACCCCGGGACUGCUCUUGGAACUGCGCGGCUGGAGUGCAGGAGGGGCAGGCGGAAUUCCUGGUGUAGCGGUGAAAUGCGUAGAUAUCAGGAGGAACACCGGUGGCGAAGGCGGCCUGCUGGACUGCGACUGACGUUGAGGCCCGAAAGCGUGGGGAGCAAACAGGAUUAGAUACCCCGGUACCA